AACGAACGCUGGCGGCAUGCCUAACACAUGCAAGUCGAACGAGACCUUCGGGUCUAGUGGCGCACGGGUGCGUCACGCGUGGGAACCUGCCCUUAGGUUCGGCAUAACUCCCCGAAAGGGGUACUAAUACCGGAUAAUGUCUUCGGCCCAAAGAUUUAUCGCCUUUGGAUGUGCCCGCGUUGGAUUAGCUAGUUGGUAGGGUAAAAGCCUACCAAGGCGACGAUCCAUAGCUGGUCUGAGAGGAUGAUCAGCCACACUGGGACUGAGACACGGCCCAGACUCCUACGGGAGGCAGCAGUGGGGAAUAUUGGACAAUGGGCGAAAUCCUGAUCCAGCAAUGCCGCGUGAGUGAUGAAGGCCUUAGGGUUGUAAAGCUCUUUUACCCGGGAUGAUAAUGACAGUACCGGGAGAAUAAGCCCCGGCUAACUCCGUG
rnacentral:rRNA from 1 species